AUUGAACGCUGGCGGCAGGCCUAACACAUGCAAGUCGAACGAGUGGCGGACGGGUGAGUAAUGUCUGGGAAACUGCCUGAUGGAGGGGGAUAACUACUGGAAACGGUAGCUAAUACCGCAUACCAUCGGAUGUGCCCAGAUGGGAUUAGCUAGUAGGUGGGGUAAAGGCUCACCUAGGCGACGAUCCCUAGCUGGGAUGAGAGGAUGACCGGCCACAAGGGAACUGAGACACGGUCCAGCAUCCUACGGUAGUCAGCGGUGGGGAAUAUUGGACAAUGGGCGCAAGCCUGAUGCAGCCAUGCCGCGUGUAUGAAGAAGGCCUUCUGGUUGUAAAGUACUGUCAGCGGGGAGGCGUUACCCGCAGAAGAAGCACCGGCUAACUCCGUGCCAGCAGCCGCGGUAAUUC
rnacentral:rRNA from 1 species